rnacentral:miRNA from 1 species
AAUCAGUGAAUGCCUUGAACCU